rnacentral:rRNA from 2 species
AUAUAGAUUAAGUUAUUAAGGGCGCACGGUGGAUGCCUUGGCACUAGAAGCCGAUGAAGGACGUUACUAACGACGAUAUGCUUUGGGGAGCUGUAAGUAAGCUUUGAUCCAGAGAUUUCCGAAUGGGGAA